AGCAAAAUGAUGAAAUCAGAUUUGUUUUAAUCUGAAUUUGAUGUGGAAUUUCAAAUCAUGCCUUCAAAGUUCUCUGAUUGCU